AUCAUUGUGAGAGAUAGAUAGAGACAUUAUUAGACAGAUCAUUGUGAGAGACAGAGAGACAUUAUUAGACAGAUCAUUGUGAGAGAUAGAGAGACAUUAUUUGACAGAUCCUUGUGAGAGAUAGAGAGGGACAUUAUUAGACAGAUCAUUGUGAGAGAUAGAGAGACAUUAUUAGACAGAUCAUUGUGAGACACAGAGAGACAUUAUUAGACAGAUCAUUGUGAGAGAUAGAGAGACAUUAUUAGACAGACCAUCGUGAGAGAUAGAGAGACAUUAUUAGACAGACCAUCGUGAGAGAUAAAGAGAGACAUUAUUAGACAGAUCAUUGUGAGAGAUAGAGAGGGACAUUAUUAGACAGGUCAUUGUGAGAGAUAGAGAGGGACAUUAUUAGACAGAACACUGUGAGAGAUAGAGAGACAUUAUUAGACAGAUCAUUGUGAGAGAUAGAGAGACAUUAUUAGACAGACCAUCGUGAGAGAUAAAGAGAGACAUUAUUAGACAGAUCAUUGUGAGAGAUAGAGAGGGACAUUAUUAGACAGAUCAUUGUGAGAGAUAGAGAGGGACAUUAUUAGAC
rnacentral:lncRNA from 1 species